CGACCCGCCCACAUGCAGCAGCAGAAGAACGAGACGUUUACUCGUUGUCACCUGUACUGGAUCAGUGCUAUUUAUUCGGAUUUGUGUGGACUCUUUGAGGGCUACAUACAACGCGCAACACAUAUCCACUGGGAGGAGCAGUUCAUGGAGUAGCUAAGCUCUUGGUGGAACUGAGUCAAGCACAGACUUCUUCAGUUCCUGGAUCUGCCUCCAACUGCUGGGCACCUGAUGAGCUGAAGUCAGUUCUGUUAUGUCAAAUGCUGAGGUCAAAGGCCCUUUAUUGUGUUUUAUUGUGUAUUAUUAUGUCAAAUGUUU